rnacentral:rRNA from 1 species
AUUGAACGCUGGCGGCAGGCCUAACACAUGCAAGUCGAACGAGUGGCGGACGGGUGAGUAAUGUCUGGGAAACUGCCCGAUGGAGGGGGAUAACUACUGGAAACGGUAGCUAAUACCGCAUACCAUCGGAUGUGCCCAGAUGGGAUUAGCUCGUAGGUGGGGUAACGGCUCACCUAGGCGACGAUCCCUAGCUGGUCUGAGAGGAUGACCAGCCACCCUGGAACUGAGACACGGUCCAGACUCCGACGGGAGGCAGCAUUGGGGAAUGUGGCACAAGGGGCGCAAGGCUGAUGCAGCCAUGCCGCGUGUAUGAAGAAGGCCUGCGGGUUGUAGAGUACUUUCAGCGAGGAGGCGUUACUCGCAGAAGAAGCACCGGCUAACUCCGUGCCAGCCGCCGCGGUAAUAC